rnacentral:lncRNA from 1 species
AUGGUUUUGACAGUGAAGGUUGAAUGUGAUGGUGUCGUGAAGGGGGGUGUUCCGGGGAGGUGGUUGUUGAUGAUGGGUAAGAGUUGCAGAAAAGAUGGAGGAAGCAACGGAGAUUUGAGGAGGCGAUCCGGUUCCAGGCAUUCCGCGUGAUGUUGUGAGUAUGAAACUGUGGUCAGCAGGGCCGGUGGUGGUCAACGAGCUAUUGAGUAGGCCACAACAGCUUAAUCAGCAAGGUCGUGCACUGGGAUAGCAAUAGAAGUAGCAACACUUGCAAGUAUUAACUUUAAAGAUACUUUAAAUGAGUGGCAUGACAAAGUUGGUGAGGUGACUGUGGAUCAAUAGUCGCAUCUUGUUAUAUCCAGUCACAAAUGCCUCUUUGGGUGGAACUUUAGUUUAAUGGUCAAUGUUCUUACAUUUUUUUAUCAUUCAGGCCACGUCUUGUCACUGCCUCUGCUCACGUAGCAGCUGCAAACCCACCCAGUAUGGAUUUGGACCUACAUGUUGUUCCUAACUUAACAUUUAGGUCAUGCCUUGUUGCUGCUACGGAUGUUGUAUGCUUUGAUGUGGAUAACAUCGUGUGUAUGGAUGAAGACAUUGCUGGAAAAGCUGUUGUUGAGUGGACUGCAAGUCCCUUUUCCGGAAGUUUUAGCUGCCAGACUUGAUCUUUUCAAACCUUCAUCAUCAACAGUCUUGAGAAGCGACCCCCCAGGCUUCCUUUUGGCAUAAAGGAAUUGGUGGUUAUUUGAUAUCUGGAGGGUUUUGUCAAAUGAUCAAUGCGGUAAUUGCUGUUGGAGUUUUUCUACAAGGGCUGGGGGAUGAAUACUAUAAGGUACUACUGUUGCAAUGCAUUUCUUAUAUUAAUUCUUAUCCAUAUACUUAGGAAUGGGUCUAUUCGGGUUAUGUUUAAUCUAAAAUGGGAAAAUUUAAACAAAUCAUUCAUAAAUGAAUCAAAUCAAAUGGCCAAACAACUAGAUAUUAAUUUUCUUUUCUUUUACUGAUUUUUGAGUGACGUGAGUCCCCUGCAAUUAACUUAUUUGAAUCGUAUUGUAAUGCAACCAUGCAUACUUAUUUUGUAGAGGCGUUGUUUAUAUGAUAAUCAUGAUGUGGUCAGUGGUACACUUCGUUUUUUUUUUAUUUAUACCCAGCAUCCUCUAUCUCUCAAAAAGAAGGAAGUAAUUGACCCGACACACAAAGUGUUGAACCCGACCCAAGCCGUACUAGAAACUGUCCGGUUGACAUUAUGUGCAGGUUUGUGACAUGAAUACAUAUAUAUAUAUAUACGUGGAGGUGAUGGUUUCAUUGAUGGGCUAAGAGACAUCAGA